AUUGAACGCUGGCGGCAUGCCUUACACAUGCAAGUCGAACGGUAACAGGUCUUCGGAUGCUGACGAGUGGCGAACGGGUGAGUAAUACAUCGGAACGUGCCUAGUAGUGGGGGAUAACUACUCGAAAGAGUGGCUAAUACCGCAUGAGAUCUACGGAUGAAAGCAGGGGAUCGCAAGACCUUGUGCUACUAGAGCGGCCGAUGGCAGAUUAGGUAGUUGGUGGGAUAAAAGCUUACCAAGCCGACGAUCUGUAGCUGGUCUGAGAGGACGAUCGUCCACACAGGGACUGGGACACGGCCCAGACUCCUACGGGAGGCAGAAGUGGGGAAUUUUGGACAAUGGGCGCAAGCCUGAUCCAGCAAUGCCGCGUGCAGGAUGAAGGCCUUCGGGUUGUAAACUGCUUUUGUACGGAACGAAAAGCCCUGGGUUAAUACCCUGGGGUCAUGACGGUACCGUAAGAAUAAGCACCGGCUAACUACGUGCCAGCCGCCGCCGUAA
rnacentral:rRNA from 1 species